rnacentral:rRNA from 1 species
GUGUAAGCGCAGCGAUGCGUUGAGCUAACCGGUACUAAUGAACCGUGAGGCUUAACCUUACAACGCCGAAGGGGUUUUG